GUAAUGGCUGCUGAAGCUCAUUAGUAUCACUUAUAAACUAAUAACAGAAUCUUUGAUCUUUUAGAAAAGUAGGGGAAAAAAGCUCCUGCUAAGGUAGCUGGCAAAGGCAAGGCUAAAGGUGGAAGAACCGUUGUCUAAUAUAAAUGAUCUCUUCAAGACAGUUACUGGUGAAACGCAGAUCACCAUAUUUGCGAUUUGCGAUAUAAAGAAGGCAGAACCCAUGACCCACGAUUGCUGGUCGGAGAUGAAGUUUUCCUCUAAAGCAUUCUAAACUCUACCGAGACUGUAGCAAGAGGAAGGGUCCAAAGCUUGGACCCAAAUGAUCUAAUUGGUGGUAUAGAGAUUGGACCAGAAUGGUGUGAGGUAAAUGUUCAAGUACCAAUAAAAAAAGAUGUAAACUUGGUAAGACCAUAUGGUUUAUUUUCUACAAUUCAAGAUUGUAUUGGUGCAUCCUUCGCAUAGCCCUAUCCAUUCAUCUCGGUAGUCCAUGAGGAUUGAGGACGCAUGAUGACUCAAGAUUU